CUACGGGUGGCACCAGCUAAGAAUCUUCCGCAAUGGGCGCAAGCCUGACGGAGCGACGCCGCGUGGACGAAGAAUGCCGAGAGGUUGUAAAGUCCUUUUAUAUGCGAAGAAUAAUAACCGUAGGUAAUGACGGUUAGAUGACGUUAGCUUAUGAAUAAGCUCCGGCCAAUUACGUGCCAGCAGCCGCGGUAACACGUAAGGAGCGAGCGUUGUUCGGAAUUAUUGGGCGUAAAGGGCAUGUAGGCGGUCUUGUAAGUCUGGUGUGAAAUACCGCAGCUUAACUGCGGAGACGCACUGGAAACUGUGAGACUAGAAUCAGUGAGGGGUAACCGGAAUUCCUAGUGUAGGGGUGAAAUCUGUUGAUAUUAGGAAGAACACCGAUGGCGAAGGCAGGUUACUGGCGCAUGAUUGACGCUGAUGUGCGAAAGCGUAGGGAGCGAACAGGAUUAGAUACCCUAGUAGUC
rnacentral:rRNA from 1 species